rnacentral:tRNA from 3 species
GCCCGGGUGGCGGAAUUGGUAGACGCGCUCGUUUCAGGUGCGAGUGGGGUUAAAGCCGUGCAGGUUCGAGUCCUGUUCCGGGCA